rnacentral:misc_RNA from 1 species
CAGAGUUCAUGCCCUUCGGGGUAGAUCUCCCACCCUAUGUAUUUAUACCUUUGUUGCUUUGGUGGGCCGUUAGGCUUCGGCCUGGCUACUGGCUCGCGCUGGUAAGCGCCCACCAGAGGAAACCAAACUCUGAAUGUUAGUGUCGUCUGAGUACUAUAUAAUAGUUA